UGUAGUGAUGUUGUCUUCCUGAAGAAACAUAUAAGCUACAGUUAGAGGUUUGUGUGUGGCUUUUCCCGUUAACAAUAAGCAGGAAGUUUCCAUCUCCUUUUGGCUUUUGGCCCAAUGUAAGAAUGUAGCUACUGCAUCACCAUCAAGGAAGUCUCUUUUUACAGCAAAUGAAGAUCAUCAAAGAUAACCACGUAGUACACAAUUCAGUGAUCAACAAAUCAUGGGAAAACCAGCCACAAUGGAUACAUCCACAUUACAGCUCCUCCUUCUGUGGCUCAGGAAACAUCGAAGAAGAGGGACUAGAAAGACAGCUUUGCUGAUUCUCUUUCUUUCAUGAGAACUUUAGCUUGUUUGAGAGUCUUAUAAAUGGGCCAGGUUACCUAAAUAUGUCUCUACGAAAUGUCAUGGAAAUGGAGGAAUCUAGUGCAUCUCUACAGUUUCAGACAGGAUACUAAAAUGGCUGCCUUCUGAGAGAUUCUACCACCAACUGACUGAGAGAGAUGCACAUAUUCACAGCCAACCAUUGGACUGAGGAUUUGCUUAUAGAAAGUCCUCUUUGCUGUGAAACAAAACAAAACAAAAACUUACAACAAAUCUUGGCAUGGAUUCAGGGAAAGUUUGCCUUUUCACAUAAAUGGAAUAAAAUACAUACAAUUUUAAAUACUGUGAUGGUUUGCAUAUGCUUGGCCCAGGGAGUGGCACUAUUAGAAGGGGUGACCUUGUUGGAUGAAAUGUUUCACUGCCCAGGGUAGGCUUGGAGACCUUCCUCCUAGAUGCUGGAGGAUGCUUAGUCUAUUCCUGGCUUUCUUCAGCUGAAGAUGUAGAACUCAUCUCCUGCAUCAUGACUGCCUGGAUGCUGCAAUGCUGCCAUGCUCCCACCGUGAUAAUAAUGGACUUAACCUAUAAG